UUGUUAUUGCCGUCCUUGUUUAUGUCAUCAGGAAAGAAUCUUGUGAUUGUUGCAAUGCUACAAAUGUUGGUCUACAAACAACUGCUGCAACAGCCAGUGGUGAUCAGCAUAGUCAGCAGAGAACUGAGGACUCUUUGGUUUAUUCUACGGCAGUCUUUACUGGGAGAAAAGCUGGCAAAGCAGGAAGAAGAAAUGCAACAGCAAAGGAGGAGACGAUCUACACCAGGGUCAGGGCUUCUGUGAACGAUUAACGAUCCAAACACUGGAUGUACUUACUGAUGUGAUGUGGCACACAGUGUGCAAAAUGCACUGAUUUAACUGAGAAGACAAAUAUAA